rnacentral:tRNA from 1 species
CCUUAGAUAGCUUAAACAAAAGCCUCAGCCUCUUGAUCUGAAGAUGGGCAAUGGCCCUCUAAGGA